ACGGGUGAGUAACGCGUAGGCAACCUGCCCCUUGCACAGGGAUAGCCACUGGAAACGGUGAUUAAUACCUGAUAAUGCAUUCCUAUCGCCUGUUAGGGAUGCCAAAGAUUUAUUGGCAAGGGAUGGGCCUGCGUCUGAUUAGCUUGUUGGUGGGGUAACGGCUCACCAAGGCGACGAUCAGUAGCCGACCUGAGAGGGUGAUCGGCCACAUUGGAACUGAGACACGGUCCAAACUCCUACGGGAGGCAGCAGUAGGGAAUCUUGCACAAUGGGCGAAAGCCUGAUGCAGCAACGCCGCGUGAGCGAUGAAGGCCCUUGGGUCGUAAAGCUCUGUCCUAUGGGAAGAAACAAAUGACGGUACCAUUGGAGGAAGCCCCGGCUAACUACGUGCCAGCAGCCGCGGUAAUACGUAGGGGGCAAGCGUUAUCCGGAAUCAUUGGGCGUAAAGAGUGCGUAGGUGGUUUCUUAAGCGUGGGGUUUAAGGCUACGGCUUAACCGUAGUUCGCCCCAUGAACUGGGAGACUUGAGUGCAGGAGGGGAAAGUGGAAUUCCUAGUGUAGCGGUGAAAUGCGUAGAUAUUAGGAGGAACACCAGUGGCGAAGGCGACUUUCUGGACUGUAACUGACACUGAGGCACGAAAGCGUGGGGAGCGAACAGGAUUAGAUACCCUGGUAGUCCACGCCGUAAACGAUGAGCACUAGGUGUCGGGGAGACAAUCCUCGGUGCCGCAGUUAACGCAUUAAGUGCUCCGCCUGGGGAGUACGUUCGCAAGAAUAAAACUCAAAUGAAUUGACGG
rnacentral:rRNA from 1 species